AUUGAACGCUGGCGGCAGGCCUAACACAUGCAAGUCGAGCGGAUGAAGGGAGCUUGCUCCUGGAUUCAGCGGCGGACGGGUGAGUAAUGCUUAGGAAUCUGCCUAUUAGUGGGGGACAACAUUCCGAAAGGAAUGCUAAUACCGCAUACGCCCUACGGGGGAAAGCAGGGGAUCUUCGGACCUUGCGCUAAUAGAUGAGCCUAAGUCGGAUUAGCUAGUUGGUGGGGUAAAGGCCUACCAAGGCGACGAUCUGUAGCGGGUCUGAGAGGAUGAUCCGCCACACUGGGACUGAGACACGGCCCAGACUCCUACGGGAGGCAGCAGUGGGGAAUAUUGGACAAUGGGCGGAAGCCUGAUCCAGCCAUGCCGCGUGUGUGAAGAAGGCCUUUUGGUUGUAAAGCACUUUAAGCGAGGAGGAGGCUACCUGGAUUAAUACUCUAGGAUAGUGGACGUUACUCGCAGAAUAAGCACCGGCUAACUCUGUGCCAGCAGCCGCCGUAAAAC
rnacentral:rRNA from 1 species